rnacentral:lncRNA from 1 species
AUAUGCUUUCAUUUUUACUUCUUUUAAUUUUUUCGUUCUUUUAAAAAUUUUUAUUUUUCUAUUUUUUUAUCCAAAUCUUUUGUCUUUUCAUUUUUAUUCUUUUCUUGCUAUUCUAUUUUUUUCCCACAAAUUUCCUUUCAUUUCUUAUUUGCGUUUUUAAAUUCCCAUACUUUUUUUAUUUUGCAUUAACUUUUCUCUUUUUUAAUUUUUUGUCUGACUUUUUAUAUUGUUAGGUCUUAUAUGUUUUUCAAUUUUUUGUAUUUUUUAAGCUAUUUUUUUUCUUUUUCUCAUUCCAUUUCAUUUUUGAAAUUUUUAUUCAAUUUUUGUCCUUUUUUAUUUUCUUACUUUUUAUAUUUUUGUUGUUUUUUUCUCUUUUAUUUUUUCCUUUUUUCGUAUUUUAUUUAAUUUAUUUUUUCACUUAUUUUUUAUUUAUAUUUUAAAAACUUUUUAUAAAGUUCAAAUUUUUUUUUGAAUCUUUUUUACUUUCUUAUUUUUUUCUAGUUUGUAAUAUAUUUUAAAAACUUUUUAAAAAGUUCAAAGUUUUUUUUUUUUAUUUUUUUGAAUCUUUUUUAUAUUUUUUCCACUUUGUAAUUUUUUAAUAACUUUUUCCCUUCACAAUUUUCCUUCUUUUUCAUAUGCUUUCAUUUUUACUUGUUUUAAUUUUUUCUUUGUUUUAAAAAUUUUUAUUUUUCUAUUUUUUAAUCCAAAUCUUUUGUCUUUUCAUUUUUAUUCUUUGCUUGCUAUUCUAUUUUUUUCCCACAAAUUUCCUUUCAUUUCUUAUUUGCGUUUUUAAAUUCUCAUACUUUUUUUAUUUUGCAUUAACUUUUCUCUUUUUUAAUUUUUUGUCUGACAUUUUAUAUUGUUAGGUCUUAUAUGUUUUUCAAUUUUUUUGCAUUUUUUUAACUAUUUUUUUUCUUUUUGUCAUUCUAUUUCAUUUUUGAACUUUUUAUUCAAUUUUUGUCCUUUUUUAUUUUGUUACUUUUUAUAUUUUUGUUGUAUUUUUUUCUCUUUUUUUGGGCUUUAUUUAUCUUUUUUCUUUUGCUUUUAUUUUUUUUCUUUUUAUUUUUUAUUUUUCUAUCUUUUUUUCUUUUAUCAUUCUCGGUUAUUUUCUAUUGUAUUUUUAUAAUUUUUCAUUCACUUUUUCUCCUUUCAAAUUUUUCUUCUUUUUUUUUAUGUGCUUUCAUUUUUUUUUUGUUCACUUUUUCCUUUGUUUUAAAAUUUUCUAUAAAGUUUUUUCUUUUUCUUUUCUUUCAUAUCUUUGCCUCAUCACUUUUUCCUUUUUUCUUCUUUUUCUCAUUUUUUUCUCAAAUUUUAUUUUAUGUAUUUUGUAUUUUCCUUUUUUAUUUUUUUCUUGCUUUUUCUUAAAUCUUUUUGUUCACACUUUUUUUUUAUUUCUUCUUUAUAAUUUUAAAACCUCAAACUUCUUUUUUUGUGCACUUUCUUUUAUUUUUAUUUAUACUUUUUGUUAACUUUUAUUUUUCAUCUUUCAUAUUUUAUAUCUUUGUCAUCUAUUUUUUUUUUUUUUGUUUUUCUUUGUACAUUCUAAACUAAAAGUUUUUUCCAUUUUAUAUUUGAAAUUUUUAUUCAUUUUGUCUUUUUAUAUUUUUUUGAUUCGCUAAUAUUUUAUUUUCUUACUUUGUUACUUUUUUCCUUUUGUUUAUUUUUAUUUUUUCUCUUAAUUUAUUUUUUCAUUUAUUUUUUAUUUAUAUUUUAAAAAAUUUUUAUAAUGUUCAAAUUUUUUUUUGUAUUUUUGGAAUCUUUUUUAUAUUUUUUCUACUUUGUAAUUUUUUAAUAACUUUUUCCCUUCACAAUUUUCCUUCUUUUUGCUUUUUUUUUUUUUUUUUCAAUAUUCUUUCAUUUUUACUUGUUUUAAUUUUUUCGUUGUUUUAAAAAUUUUUAUUUUUCUAUUUUUUAAUCCAAAUCUUUUUCUUUUCAUUUUGUUCUUUUCUUGCUAUUCUAUUUUUUUUCCCACAAGUUUCCUUUCAUUUCUUAUUUGCGUUUUUAAAUUCUCAUACUUUUUUUAUUUUGCAUUAACUUUUCUCUUUUUUUAUUUUUGUCUGACUUUUUAUAUUGUUAGGUCUUAUAUGUUUUUUCAAUUUUUUACAUUUUUUAAACUAUUUUUUUCUUUUUGUCAUUCCAUUUCAUUUUUGAAAUUUUUAAAAAUUUACCUUUUUAUUUCUUACUUUUUAUAUUUUUUGUUGUUUUUUGUUUCUUAUUUUUUAUUUUUUCCUUUUUUCGUGUUUUAUUUAAUUUUUUCUCUUAAUUUAUUUUUUCACUUAUUUUUUAUUUAUAUUUUAAAAAAAUUUUAUAAAGUUCAAAAUUUUUUUUCUACUUUGUAAUUUUUUAAUAACUAUUUCCCUUCACAAUUUUCCUUCGUUUUGCUUUUUUUUUCAUAUGCUUUCAUUUUUACUUGUUUUAAUUUUUUUGAUGUUUUAAAAAUUUUUAUUUUUCUAUUUUUUCCUCCAAAUCUUUUGCCAUUCUAUUUUUUUCCCACAAAUUUCCUUUCAUUUCUUAUUUGCGUUUUUAAAUUCUCAUACUUAUUUUAAUUUGCAUAAACUUUUCUUUUUUUUUCAUUUUUUGUCUGACUUUUUAUAUUGUUAGGUCUUAUAUGUUUUUCAAUUUUUUGUUUUUUUUAAACUAUUUUUUUUCUUUUUAUCAUUCCAUUUCAUUUUUGAAAUUUUUAUUCAAUUUUUGUCCUUUUUUAUUUUCUUACUUUUUAUAUUUUUUGUUGUUUUUUCUUUUUUUCGUAUUUUAUUUUUUCACUUAUUUUUUAUUUAUAUUUUAAAAUUUUUUAUAAAGUUCAAUUUUUUUUUUGAAUCUUUUUUAUUUUCUUAUUUUUUUCUAGUUUGUAAUAUAUUUUAAAAACUUUUUAGAAAGUUCAAAAUUUUUUUUGUAUUUUUUGAAUCUUUUUUAUAUUUUUUCUACCUUGUAAUUUUUUAAUAACUUUUUCCCUUCACAAUUUUCCUUCUUUUUGCUUUUUUUUCAUAUGCUUUCAUUUUUACUUCUUUUAAUUUUUUCGUUCUUUUAAAAAUUUUUAUUUUUCUAUUUUUUUAUCCAAAUCUUUUGUCUUUUCAUUUUUAUUCUUUUCUUGCUAUUCUAUUUUUUUCCCACAAAUUUCCUUUCAUUUCUUAUUUGCGUUUUUAAAUUCCCAUACUUUUUUUAUUUUGCAUUAACUUUUCUCUUUUUUAAUUUUUUGUCUGACUUUUUAUAUUGUUAGGUCUUAUAUGUUUUUCAAUUUUUUGUAUUUUUUAAGCUAUUUUUUUUCUUUUUCUCAUUCCAUUUCAUUUUUGAAAUUUUUAUUCAAUUUUUGUCCUUUUUUAUUUUCUUACUUUUUAUAUUUUUUGCUGUUUUUUUCUCUUUUAUUUUUUCCUUUUUUCGUAUUUUAUUUAAUUUAUUUUUUCACUUAUUUUUUAUUUAUAUUUUAAAAACUUUUUAUAAAGUUCAAAUUUUUUUUUUAAUCUUUUUUACUUUCUUAUUUUUUUCUAGUUUGUAAUAUAUUUUAAAAACUUUUUAAAAAGUUCAAAGUUUUUUUUUUUUUUUUUUUUGAAUCUUUUUUAUAUUUUUUCCACUUUGUAAUUUUUUUAAUAACUUUUUCCCUGCACAAUUUUCCUUCUUUUUGCUUUUUUUUCAUAUGCUUUCAUUUUUACUUGUUUUAAUUUUUUCUUUGUUUUAAAAAUUUUUAUUUUUCUAUUUUUUAAUCCAAAUCUUUUGUCUUUUCAUUUUUAUUCUUUGCUUGCUAUUCUAUUUUUUUCCCACAAAUUUCCUUUCAUUUCUUAUUUGCGUUUUUAAAUUCUCAUACUUUUUUUAUUUUGCAUUAACUUUUCUCUUUUUUUAAUUUUUUGUCUGACAUUUUAUAUUGUUAGGUCUUAUAUGUUUUUCAAUUUUUUUGCAUUUUUUUAACUAUUUUUUUUCUUUUUGUCAUUCUAUUUCAUUUUUGAACUUUUUAUUCAAUUUUUGUCCUUUUUUAUUUUGUUACUUUUUAUAUUUUUUGUUGUAUUUUUUUUCUCUUUUUUUGGGCUUUAUUUAUCUUUUUUCUUUUGCUUUUAUUUUUUUUCUUUUUAUUUUUUAUUUUUCUAUCUUUUUUUCUUUUAUCAUUCUCGGUUAUUUUCUAUUGUAUUUUUAUAAUUUUUCAUUCACUUUUUCUCCUUUCAAAUUUUUCUUCUUUUUUUUUUAUGUGCUUUCAUUUUUUUUUUGUUCACUUUUUCCUUUGUUUUAAAAUUUUCUAUAAAGUUUUUUCUUUUCUUUUCUUUCAUAUCUUUGCCUCAUCACUUUUUCCUUUUUCUUCUUUUUCUCAUUUUUUUCUCAAAUUUUAUUUUUAUGUAUUUUGUAUUUUCCUUUUUAUUUUUUUCUUGCUUUUUUCUUAAAUCUUUUUGUUCACACUUUUUUUUUAUUUCUUCUUUAUAAUUUUAAAACCUCAAACUUCUUUUUUUGUGCACUUUCUUUUAUUUUUAUUUAUACUUUUUGUUAACUUUUAUUUUUCAUCUUUCAUAUUUUAUAUCUU